rnacentral:rRNA from 1 species
CUCAGAUCAUGUAAGAUUUUAAUGAUCGAACAGAUCAAAAUUUUAAACUUUUGCAUUUAAAUUUUAUCUUAAUCCAACAUCGAGGUCGCAAACUUUUUUUUUUAUUUGAGCUAAAAAAAAAUAUUACGCUGUUAUCCCUAAGGUAAUUUUUUCUUAUAAUCAUUAUUAAUGGAUCAUUUAAUCAUUUAUUUAUGUUUAGUUUUUAAAAAAAGUUAAUUAAAUUUUUCUAUCACCCCAAUAUAAUAAUUAAUUUUAUUUUAAUAAAAAUUUUUAUAUAACUUUAAAACAAAAAUAAAUAUAAAACUCUAUAGGGUCUUCUCGUCUUUUAAAAUUAUUUUAGCUUUUUAACUAAAAAAUAAAUUUCUAAAAAUAAAUAAGAGACAGUUUAUAUUUCAUUAAAUCUUUCAUACAAGUUUUCAAUUAAAAAACUAUUGAUUAUGCUACCUUUGUACAGUCAUUAUACUGCAGCCCUUUAAUAUCUAUCAGUGGGCAGAUUAGACUUUAAAUUAUAUUCAAAAAGACAUGUUUUUG